UCACCUUGCCCCGGGGUUGCCCCGAAACCAGAAUGGUGCGCUUUGCCCCGCCGUGGUGCCGCACUGCGGAGGGUCAACAUCGAGGACAAAACUGCACCCUGCGCAGAGUGCUUGCAUGCAGCGCUACUUUGCCCCUGGCGCGCAAAACGUGCGCGAACACGCGCACGCGCAUAUUUUAUUGUUUGCAGAUGCUGAGCAUCUGCGGCAAGCGCUCGAACCUUGUCAAACUGCGUGCUCCGACAUACCUGGUUGCAAGCAAACACCAAUGAAUUUUAUAAUUAAUCCUGACGACCCGUUCAAUGAACCUGUCCACUUUCGGCCGCUCUUCACCACACUGUUUUUGGACGAGGUCGAGCAGAAUGUCGUCUUCGCUGUCAGACGAACUUGAAGAAUGCUCAUCGAUUGCGGCAACUAGCAGCGCUUCCUUUCUCAUCGCCGACAAAUCCACUAGCUAACUCCGUCAACUCCGUUGCAACGUACCGCAGCUAUCGGGCCAGAGCGUCCGCGGUUCUGCAGUCGGCAGUACGCGCGCACGUCGCGCGUCCCGCAGUGCUUGCUGGGAUUGCACUCCGCGCACCGCCGAUUUUCUCGGUGCGAGACGGGGCAACGGAAAACCGCUCCAACAGGGUGCGCUUCCGGUGAUCGAGGAUGCUCAGUGCGCACCGGUGCGAUUGAUCGAGGAUGAAAGUGCGCACCAAGGCGCCCCGGUGCGCACCGGUGCGGGUGAUCGAGGACGCUAUUUGUUUUUCGCGUCCGUGAUGUCACAUCCGUCUUUGGUUUUGGCGGCAGAAUGGCAAGCUCAAAGGUGAGCUACGCUCAAACAACUGGACAAAGAUGUGGAUCGUUUAUUUUUUGGGGCUUGUGCUAGCGUAAGCUAUCGUAAGUGGCCAAAGAACGUAAUCGGAAGAGGUGACGAGACGAAUGCGUUCUUCGUGGUUAGGAAAAGAAUUGCCAGUGGCAUCCAGUUGUGUGAGGCGUUGACGACAAGAGAUGGAAGCAGACGCCAAAGAAGUCCCACCCCAAGAUGAGUUCAUGGGUCACUCACGAAAUACCGCAAAAACAAUGUGGUGAAGAAUUUAGUCUAUGGACACACGAACAGUACACGGUGCGAUUGGACGAAUAAUAACGUUGGCUGCUGCACAAAGAGAAAGGCCGGAGUAAGGCAAUUCUUGUGUUUUAUAGAGUCCCGAACAGUCACAUGGCAAUAAUCGCCAAGCGUCUUGUAACAUGGAGCCACCUCAGAAUUGCACCAAACAAAGAUGAUGGAUGCAGCCAGUCUUGCCAGAUAACUACAUUUUGACUAUUCUGUAUUGUUUGCAUUUAUUGUGCAAAAGGAAUUCUCGCAGAGAGUUUUAUCUUCAGUGGCCUUCAGUUGACGUCAUCUGCUACAACUAGCACAUAAGUUAACUCCAUAGCACCACUAGGAUGGAGACAUUGUGUCGUGGGAUGCUUCCUUAAAAGUGGGCAAGAAGAUUCUAAAGGAAAAGUGUGAGAUGGUCACAGUAAUAACCAAGGCAUAUGGCAUGCGAAUGACCCAGCUAUGAAGGUAUUAUCAGAUGUGGACAAGCAUAUAAUACUAAAUGGCGCCUUGCACGAGUACCAAGUGUCAAAUGUAAUGAGUAUUGUGCAUUGAAAGGGCCAAAAAUGUUUUGUACAUGCAAGGGAGCACUAUGGGCAUUUGAUAGCAGUUGCUUAGAUGUACUACAUUAAAGGGAACCAAACGAAUUCCCUUAGACAUAAGUAUGCAGCAAAUUCAAGGACUAGAUGAAGCUUCAAAGAAACUGCAUUUCAUGUAGGAUAGGUGUGAAUGACCUUUGUGCAUGAGAUCAGUGACAAAAACACUAAAUGAAUGCAGUACAGUGUCUGCAUCAUAUCUUGUGCAGACCAAACUAGCCUGGAGUUUCAGCAUUCCUUGUCAGUACAUUUAAAUAGGCACUACAUUGUUCAAAGUGCUAUAUUGUUCUACAAAACAUAAUAUGCAAGAUGUAGCAUGCUAACCCUCGUGGCUCAACAACUACUGAACCGAAACCUCAAUGAGCAGUGAAGCGUCCUUGUAAUUUUCAUCGUAACCAUACUUUUGCUCUUGAAAGUGAACCUCUUUAGUGAAUUUGCUUGUGUAUUAAUUUUUCUUUAGGCAAGUAUUUUUUAUACAUGUUAAUGUCUCAAUCCUGCUUUCUCUUUCCGGAGCUAAAACAAAAUGCCUCUUAUUUCAAUUUGAUCUUUUGACCUAGGAAGCCAUCAUCUGGUGCUGUGUACAGCAAGCACAUGCUUCGGGCAAGGAGGGAGCCAGCACCACAUCUACAUCAGCAAGAACCUCGGUGCUCAAAAUAAACAUUUUCUGUGCAAA